AUUAUUUGCAGAAGAAAGAAGCAUUAGGCUUCAUCUUCAAUUUUUUUUACUUUUUGUAAUCAUUCCUUUUUAUGAAAUCAAUCAAUUUCUUUCAUGCAAUCCUUGUUCUAGGUUUAGUUAAAUUUCUGUUUUCUUUAUGCAAUCGUUUAAUUUUUCUUUUUAUGCAAUACAUCUUAUUUUCCUUUAUGCAAUUUAUGUUCUAGGGUU
rnacentral:lncRNA from 1 species